CACUGACCCCGCCGGGCGGGGGUGCCCCCGAGGGCUCCGAGGCUUGCGGGCGGUGGAACGUCUCUGAGGCGCGAGGUGGUGUAGGGGCCCUCCCGGAGUGAUGGAGCUGGACUUGGUUGAGGGUAAACGCGCAGUCCAGGCUGGGCUGUGGAUUGCCAUGAACAGAGACUACGCUGAGUUUUCUGGGCUCACCGGAGUUCACCGCCUUGUUACUUGGGACAUUUGCUUGAAACCAGGAUCUCUGAACUUACACCCCACUCAUCUGUGAAGUCCCAGUUAGUUCUGGUGAUGUGGAUGAUGUCUUAAAGAGGUUUAUGAGCCCAAGUGAGGGAACAAGAGGACAGAACCAAGGUAGCAUAUACCACCGAGCUCUGCUGCCUCAGAGAUUUUUGUGGAGAAAGUAGCUGCUGGCCUCAUCACUUCAUGAUACAUCACCUCGUCUCUUCUCUUCAGUUCAGCUUUUCUCCACUGCCCAAGACCAUCUUGAUUUUUGUUAUCCUUGUUGCUGGAGACUACUUCCUUUGACUUCAAUCCCAGAGUCUCAGAGUAUCAGGACUUGUGAUUUCAGUUGGAUUUUUAUUUAUUUUUAAUUGUAACAGUUUUAACAGAGAAGCAUUUUCUGUUUGGGCUAAUAGAUUUUGUAUUGGGGAGGUGUUUUAUAUAAAGUAACGAAGUCGUCCAUGGGUGCAAAUUUGUAAAAGCUGAUUUUUACAAAGCAAAAAAACAAAAACAGAUUUUGUUACAGUUCAUUUUUUUCUUGUCUUUAUGUUUCAAUGUAACCAUUCUUACCAUAUAGAAGGAAACCUUAGAUUUAAGUGCCUUAAAAAUAAGGCCUUCACUGGCCUUGCAUAUAGUAUAAUGUAAGGCCCAAACAUAGCAGCUUCACCGGUAUUGAAAGAAGACUGUGCAGCUGGCACUGGAAAAGUGCUUACUGAGCUGACUAAUUGAAUGAUAGUAAUUCUUAAAAAUGUAGUGGUUUCCCUCCUAAUAGUUACUUAGGCUUGUUCCCUUUAUACUGUGUUUCUAAUUGAUAAAUAGAAAAGGAUGAAAAAUAAAUUCAUGUAGUUAGGAAUUUCAGAUGUAUGUCUGUGAACUAACAAAUUAAUAUGUAUUACCAUGAAAAACAGUAUGAUUAAAAGUAAUUAUAAUCUCUCUGGCCAUCUCAUUAGUGGUUGACCUAGAGGAGAUGAACUAUGAUUUACUUGGUUUGAGAAGUUUAAAAUUGGAGCAAACUUUGCAGCCAGAGCAGUUCAUUCCCCCAACUUAUUAACUUAUUUAAAUUGAAGUAGAAUGAGUGGGAUUGAUUGCAGCGAUCUUCAGUUUCUGCUGUGCAUGUACAAGGUAUUAAAGCGUUACCUCCAGAGAGAAUAGAAAAGAUGGAGUAUUUUAAAACUUCAUUUUAAGGGAAGAAAUUUGAUUACUCUGUGACAUGUUUUAACAAUAAAAAGACUUUGCUCUUAGA